GGAGAUUGACAUGAGAAGUUCUGAGGCACAGAUUGAUCUUGCUAGUGGAAGACUCUGGUCUCAGCUGCUGCGCUUCAAACAAGAGGGUUUCCUACUGGGCGCUGGUAGUCCUUCUGGUUCAGAUGUGCAUAUCUCCUCCAGUGGUAUUGUCCAAGGUCAUGCCUAUUCAAUAUUACAGGUACGAGAAGUUGAUGGUCACAAGCUUGUUCAGAUCCGGAAUCCAUGGGCCAAUGAAGUUGAAUGGAACGGCCCUUGGUCUGAUCCAUCACCUGAGUGGACCGACAGGAUGAAACACAAGCUUAAGCAUGUCCCACAGGCAAACGAUGGAAUUUUCUGGAUGUCUUGGCAAGAUUUCCAAAUACAUUUUAGGUCUAUAUAUGUUUGUCGUGUCUACCCACCAGAGAUGCGCUACUCUAUCCAUGGUCAGUGGAGAGGUUACAGUGCUGGAGGCUGCCAGGACUAUGACACAUGGCAUCAGAAUCCCCAAUAUCGUCUAAGAGCAAGUGGUCCUGAUGCUUCCUUACCCAUUCACGUUUUUAUCACCUUAACUCAGGGUGUGAGUUUCUCAAGGACAACAGCUGGUUUCAGGAAUUAUCAAUCAAGCCAUGAUUCAAUGAUGUUCUAUAUUGGGAUGAGGAUACUGAAAACUCGUGGUAGACGUGCUGCAUAUAACAUCUAUUUACAUGAAUCUGUUGGUGGGACAGACUAUGUCAAUUCUCGUGAAAUAUCAUGUGAGAUGGUCCUAGAUCCCGACCCAAAGGGUUACACAAUAGUGCCUACUACAAUACAUCCUGGUGAAGAGGCACCUUUUGUUCUCUCUGUUUUUACUAAAGCUUCGAUAAGUCUUGAAACUUUAUAAUUUUGCAUUGAUGGCCCAGUUUGGGUUUGAGCUCUUGAUCAUUACUUGUGGGUCCCAAGCAUCUCCCCAAAAAGAUUCUGUGUGGACUUCAUAUCUGUCUAAGAGCUGGUUGAGUGAUAAAGUUGCAGUUGAAAUGCUCGGUAUAGAAAGAGGAGAAAGGAUGUUCUGUCCUUUGCAAAUGAAUGAAGCAAGCUCUGCUUUGUUCUGGGGACCCAUGCUUGCUAAAUCUCAUUCAUGCAUGGUGGCUGGAAGUCUCUAAGCCAAUAGAAGGAAGAUGGAUGGUCCAUUGAUUCUAGUCUUCACGUGGUCUAGAAAGAGGGUUCUCGGGGAUUAGACACUGUACAUGAGUAGAUGUAAGAAGAUAGGAUUUAG
rnacentral:misc_RNA from 1 species